rnacentral:rRNA from 1 species
AGCGAACGCUGGCGGCAGGCUUAACACAUGCAAGUCGAACGGUCCUUCGGGAUAGUGGCGGACGGGUGAGUAACACGUGGGAACGUACACUUAGGUUCGGAACAACACAGGGAAACUUGUGCUAAUACCGGAUCAGCCAUUCGGGGGAAAGAUUUAUCGCCUUUGGAGCGGCCCGCGUCUGAUUAGCUUGUUGGUGAGGUAAUGGCUCACCAAGGCUACGAUCAGUAGCUGGUCUGAGAGGAUGGCCAGCCACACUGAGACUGAGACACGGCCCAGACUCCUACGGGAGGCAGCAGUGGGGAAUCUUGCGCAAUGGGCGAAAGCCUGACGCAGCCAUGCCGCGUGGAUGAUGAAGGUCUUAGGAUUGUAAAAUCCUUUCACCGGGGACGAUAAUGACGGUACCCGGAGAAGAAGCCCCGGCUAACUUCGUGCCAGCAGCCGCCGUAA